rnacentral:rRNA from 1 species
AAAACUUUCAACAACGGAUCUCUUGGUUCUGGCAUCGAUGAAGAACGCAGCGAAAUGCGAUAAGUAAUGUGAAUCGCAGAACUCAGUGAAUCAUCGAAUCUUUGAACGCACAUUGCGCCCCUUGGUAUUCCGAGGGGCAUACCUGUUCGAGCGUCAUUACACCCCUCACGCCCCCCCCCCCUGGGGCGUGGUCUUG